GUAACUUCUGAAUAUCAACAUAAAUUUGUCCCAGUAUGGGUUUGCACUGAAAUUAAACUUUUCAGGUCAGUUAUGGACUACCUUUUGGUCUGUACUAGUGUGGUGGGCAGAGGUUUAACCAUGACUAGUCUGGGUCCCAAGGAGCAGUGUUUCAGGGGAAACUGAAGUGGGGUCUGCUUCUGAACCAGGUUUUUUACCUUUUUUUGACCUUUGUGUUGCCCCAGAAGUAUGCUACCAGAUACCAUACUUAACUACUGUAAAGCCAUCUAGGGUUUCUGUCUGUGACACCGCUGCAGGCAGAUCUGUCUGCAGUGAGUAUCCACAGACAAAAAACAUGUAGAUUUUUCUGUGAAAGAAAUAAAAGUCCACCAUGUAGAUUGGUUUUACCAGGUAGGAUUAAAAAGAGCACCACCAAACGGAGAGGCUUUGAUGCAAACACCCCUGGUCUGUUUUUCAGUAUGUGUGAAUCAAAGUGAAUCAAAGUGGGCAAAGGCGUUUCUCUAGGGCAUUGUCCCCAACCCAUGAGGAGCCAUGACCCCAUCCCUUGGUGUCCCUGUCAUUGUUCUGGGUCUUUUCUGACUGCAAGACUGGAUGUAGCUGGCAGAGAACAGUCUUAGCAAACUGGCUAGUUUUUUUCCAUUCGCUGCAGAAGUAAAUACAGGCUUUUCCUUUUUCUGGUCCUGUUAAGGGCUUUCCAGUUAUUGCAAGUGUACCUGUCAUGUCCUUUCAAACCAGUUCUUGCUGUGAGGCACCAGUCUGUGCUAUACACUGAUGUCUAUAAGGGGAUUUGCAACUGCAAUCUCAUUUGUUCAGACAAAUUGCUUGGCUUUUCCAUUCGAUUGGAAAGGCCACUUCCAAUAGAGAGUUAGCUUUACUGACAUUCACACCUGCCCAGCCACAGCUCCUUAGGAAAUUUAUGUUAAGAUAAGGAUCUUUCCUUCUAUUUUCCUCUCUUAGAGGAUUUUCUAAGAAGCUAUUCACCUAGCUACUCUUUUCUAAAUCUAUCAAGAAGACAAAAAAGAGGUUGAUAUUUAAAGAAAACAAACAAAACACUCAAACCAAAGCAAAACAAUUACAACCUCACAACAAUUAAAACCUCACAAAACAAACUAAAAAAGCCACAAGAAAAACACAGAGCACGAGGAUAUUAAACUAUGCUGCUGUCUUCUGCAGUAUAUGAAAAUCCAACACAUUAAUAGCUGCCAGCUUUUCAAUAAGAGCCUCCAUGAAAUGUUCCCUUUUGUCUGUGAUAAAAUUCUGAUAACCAAAACUGUAUGUGAGAGACUCAGGAAUCUGUUAAUUUUUCCUGUUUAAAUAAAGCCGUGUUUGUAAUUCAAAAGUAUUGAGAGAACCAAUGAGCUUUGCAAACAAUAUUGUUACUAAGUGCACUUACUGUAAAUGUUUAGAGGUUGUAUCUAGUACAAUAAAGUAUAUGGCAU
rnacentral:lncRNA from 1 species